GUGCCAGCAGCCGCGGUAAUACCGGCAGCCCGAGUGAUAGCCGAUCUUAUUGGGCCUAAAGCGUCCGUAGCUGGCCGCACAAGUCCGUCGGGAAAUCCGCCCGCUCAACGGGCGGCCGUCCGGCGGAACCUGUGCGGCUUGGGACCGGGAGGCCUGAGGGGUAUGAUCGGGGUAGGAGUGAAAUCCUGUAAUCCCACUCGGACCGCCAAUGGGGAAACCACCUCAGGAGAACGGAUCCGACAGUGAGGGACGAAAGCCAGGGUCUCGAACCGGAUUAGAUACCCGAGUAGUCC
rnacentral:rRNA from 1 species